rnacentral:rRNA from 1 species
GAUGAACGCUAGCGGCAGGCCUAAUACAUGCAAGUCGAACGGUGUCUUCGGACAUAGUGGCGCACGGGUGCGUAACACGUAUGCAACCUACCUUACAUUGGGGGAUAGCCUUUCGGAAGGGAGAUUAAUACCGCAUAAGACAGUAGCUGGGCAUCCAGCAGCUGUUAAAGAUUUAUCGAUGUAAGCUGGGCAUGCGUCCAAUUAGCUAGUUGGUGAGGUAACGGCUCACCAAGGCAAUGAUUGGUAGGGGAACUGAGAGGUCAAUCCCCCACACUGGAACUGAGCUACGGGCCAGACUCCUACGGGAGGCAGCAGUAGGGAAUAUUGGGCAAUGGACGCAAGUCUGACCCAGCCAUGCCGCGUGCAGGAUGAAGGCGUUAUGCGUUGUAAACUGCUUUUAUACAGGAAGAAACGACUCUUGCGAGAGGCAUUGACGGUACUGUAUGAAUAAGCACCGGCUAACUCCGUGCCAGCAGCCGCCGUAACAC